rnacentral:miRNA from 1 species
UCACACGAGGCUCUCGAGGUAG